UUGAGUUUAAAAGAAUAUAGGUGCUACGACAUGAAUUAUGCAAAAUUAAAAAUUAAAAACUGUUAAUUAUGUAAUUUUUUACCAUAAGACUUUGUGUUUUUGCCUUUUGAUGUGCUUGAAAGUUUUUCCACCUUUCUAAAACUUUCACUUUGCAUCAAAUUAUUCUCUUAAGGUUGUCCAUACCCAUUUCAAAUCGUGACUAGGCAAAGCUGAAACAAACCAAAAGACCUAUCUCCAAAUAGUAACUUAAUUAGGUUAUUCCCAGUCAACGAGACUUGACUAGAAUUUAAAUUAAAGGACAGCAAUAGACAGUAGAAAAACCAGAUGAUACAAAGAACUUGAUUAUAUAUUACUAACCAUAUCAUCUGAGGCAUAUUUGUCUUUAUAGUAAUCAAACUCAAAGAAGGCAAGCAACCGUGUUGACAAUUGAAAAUUGUAGAAGGUAGCCUGGUUAGAUUGGUAUGCACAAGUCUCUAUUGUACAAUAGGCAGGUUAGAUUAACUGUAGGAAAGUACCAAGGCUAGUGUUUCCAGUUGCGGAGGGCUAUGGAUGUUGCUGACAAUUGAGGGACACUAGUAAAGAUGGUAUGAAUGGGGUGGUUUUGGCUAUGAAGCCAAAUCAUGCGAUGGUAGGCUGUUGUAGUUCUUCCAUAUGCAACCAAAUGGCAUGCAGCUAGAUGCCUGGCUGUGUUAAAAGCAUUAACUGAGGCUAUACAGCUUGAUUUUUGAACUUUAUUAUGACAAGUUCUAGAGUUGAGGACCUCUUUUUAAGAAAGAAAGUUCCUUGGCGACUUGUGCUGAUUGAAGACCACAAGUCCACAAGCGCAUGGAAGUUGGAGAAAGCUAGUGGUUAUGUACGUUGUGCAUAAUAGGGUCACUGCAAAUGUUGCUUUCAAGUCUUAUAGACAUUUUUGAACUCUACUACUAGUCAACCAUUUUGACAGGCGGGUUUUAUACGGAUUCUUGGGCCUAUCCCUGGGCCUCCUGAUUUCCUUUGCUGCUUUAGGACUACCCUUAUCCUGAUUGAUGGUAUCAAGUUGAAGAAUGCUUUUCUUGGCGAUAUCACCAAACCAUCUGGAAUCUCCCUUUGCAGGUUCCAGCGCUGGAAGGCGGAUAAAGUGGGCACACUAGUCUUCACAUUAACAGUUGGGAUCAUGCAUGGUGUUCCUUCAUCCAUGAUGCCUAAGGUACCCAAGUAUGGCAUAGGGACGGCUCCUCAACGUUCCUAUCGAUUAGAGUCGGGGAUAGGUUUUUAAUCGAAGGAUUCCUCCAAUCAAUCUCUCCCUUCGGAGGAAAGGCGCUUAGGAUCCGAAAUUCCGAAGAAUAGACAGAGGGCCACUCUAUCGGAAGGGAAAGAGCUUAUUUAGAUUUCCGAAUCAUUAUAGACUUUCUUGAGGCUGUUUGUUCUAAGAACUCGAGCGUCUGGUUGCCUCGGGGUCUUUCUUCUCAUUAUUGUACUCUUUAUUCCUUUUCUGGACUUAUUUAUGCCUUGGGCAUAUGCCUACGUGCAAUCAUUAACAUUUUAGGACAUUACAUCAAAGAUUUGUUUCUUUGCGUGAAAAUUCCUUUUCAUUUCUCCUGUUAAUGCAAAUAAGAGUAAUUGACUUAACCAUCUAA